UACCUAUAAGAUUCUAAGCCUCCUAAGGCCAAUGAAAGAUGACUUUUAUUUGUUUUAAUGAUUGUAUUUCAGGAGUUUCAUAUGACCUGGCCAAGAUGUUGACCAUUUGCUAAAUUCACAAAUCAAUGAUACAUUGAUAAGGAAGAGUCUUAGGAAAAAUGAAAAAUCGCAUGUCAUAUUAUCAAGUGGGACUCUAAUCUGCCUGAGAAUCUGUAACGACAUGACGUGUGCCAACACUCCUGAGCUCUGGAGUUUCCCUGAAGCAGAUGGAAAGCCAUUCACG
rnacentral:lncRNA from 1 species